rnacentral:rRNA from 1 species
AUUGAACGCUGGCGGCAGGCCUAACACAUGCAAGUCGAGCGGAGCGGCGGACGGGUGAGUAAUGCCUGGGAAUCUGCCUGGUAGUGGGGGAUAACGUCCGGAAACGGGCGCUAAUACCGCAUACUAUCAGAUGAGCCUAGGUCGGAUUGGCUAGUUGGUGGGGUAAAGGCCUACCAAGGCGAGGAUGCGUAACUGGUCUGAGAGGAUGAUCAGUCAAACUGAAAGUGAGAAAAGGUCCAGACUCCAGCGGUAGGAAGCAGUGGGAAAUAUUGGACAAGGGGCGAAAGGCUGAUCCAGCCAUGCCGCGUGUGUGAAGAAGGUCGUAGGAGUGUAGAACACUUUAAGUUGGGAGGCGUUACCAACAGAAUAAGGACCGGCUAACGUCGUGCCAGCAGCCGCGGUAAUAC